UGCGCCUGCGCUCUGCGUCGCCACCGCGAGAAAGACUCCACAGGCUCGAGCCUCUAAACCUCCCCGCCAGCAGCGGUUUUCUCGAAAGGCCACGAGCUACUGAAAUGAAAGCUGCACUAAUACCUCUUCACACGUCGGAGUCUACGACUGCAUGAAGAAGGCCGUGUAGCGUUGACACGCGUUGGGAGGGUUUAAAGGACACGACAUGAAGAGGACAGCAUGGUGUGCAUGAGGGGUCGUCACACGCAGAGGGAAUGACACGCAUCCUCUAUGACUGUGAGGGUGAAUCUUAAUUACUGCGCGGAGCUCGUUUUCUGACCAACCGGUUGGAUGUACUACGAGGGAGCGCGCACCUAGACGGCCCGAAGAUGUCCCAGAGCUGGACCGCCGCCACGCCGUGCCGCUGUCUCGCCGCCGUUCUCGUUCUCCUCCUUCUCGUCUUGCCCCCGCGCGCGCUCUCCAUCCGUGCCGACAAGGCUCUCAACAAGGACGACCACGUGAGCGCCACGGUCAACGCCACCGUGUUGGACUCAAAGGGCAACCCCGUCCAGAUGAUGAGCAACGACGACGGCACGUACGGUCAGAACUCACCGAAGAGCGACACGAAAGGCACGGUGAUCGCGCCUGCGCAUUACCAUGGAGUGGUGGACCGCCAGGGCUGUGACCCCCACACACGCUUCGUGGUGCCCCCGCGCACCGGGCACUGGGUGGCCCUGCUGCAGCGCGGGAACUGCACCUUCAAGGAGAAGAUCCUGAAGGCCUCCGCCUACAACGCCUCUGCCGUGCUCGUCUACAACAACUCCACCGAAAAGACGGUCAAGAUGGGCCACGACGGCACUGGUGACACCGUAGCAGUCAUGAUCACCGAAGCGUACGGCAGAGAGAUCCUGUCCCACCUUGAGCGCAACCUGACGGUGCUGGUGAGCGUGGUGGUGGGCCAGCGCGGGCCCACCAAGAACAUCAACCGGGGUUCCCUGGUGUUCGUCUCCAUUUCCUUCAUCGUCCUGAUGAUCAUCUCGUCCGCCUGGCUCAUCUUCUACUUCAUUCAGAAGAUCCGCUACACCAACGCCCGGGACCGCAGCCAGCGUCGCCUUGGCGAUGCAGCCAAGAAAGCCAUUGGGAAGCUGACCACAAGGACCGUGAAGAAAGGAGAUAAGGAAAUUGACCCAGACUUCAACCACUGUGCAGUGUGUAUCGAGGGCUACCAGCCCAACGACGUGGUGCGAAUCCUGCCUUGCAAGCAUGUCUUCCACAAGAUGUGUGUGGACCCCUGGCUCAACGAGCACUGUACGUGCCCCAUGUGUAAACUCAACAUCCUCAAAGCUCUGGGGAUCAUGACCAACCUGCCGUGCGUGGACAACGUGGCCUUCGGCAUGGAGAGGAUAGGCCGCAGCCAGACUUCGGGCAGUCAGAGGAUGGCUCUGGUGGACCUCUCCAACGAAGCCUCCAUCAGCAUGGAGCCCCUGAGGCCUUCUGGGGGCCCUCAGGGGGUCCCCUCGGACGGAGAACUCACCCCUCACACCGGGGAAAUCAACAUUGCCGUCACCAAGCUUUGGGUUGUGGUCCUCACCUUCGGUCUUCUGUGUGUCCUGGUGCUCUGCUUCAUCAUCAUGAAGGCUGCAACACUGUUCAGCGGGCAGGAUGGAGAAGCAAUGCCAGUAGAGGAUUAGAGGAACAUUGACCUGGAAGAUGACCUCUGACCUCUGAACUACUGUAGGUCAUCCUCCGUCAUGGGUUCCUCCCUCAAGAUUGACCUUUUUGAAAUGUGGCCAUUUCUUCAACCGGAGCUCUGGCUCUCCUCGGAGCAUCGUGUGUGAGGUUGAGCUGCCCGACAACCAAGUGCCCCAUGACCUCUACGACGACAACAAGUCAUGAGCUGCGCCACCAAGAUGGCCGACCCCCCUCCUCCUCCCCCUUCCUCCCUCUCUUUGCCCCCCCCCCCCUCUUUUCCGCCUCCUUACUUGCUGAAGGACCCUCUUUGGAGCGUGGGGGUGUUUGUGGGGGUGUAAAGGGAGGUGGGCAGGGGGUGUUGCGAUGGACAAUGUCUUCUGAACAUUCACAUCAAAGACUCUUCUGUCUCUGCCGCUGCGGAUUGUAACGUUGCUAUGUUGCUAUGUCAGUAAGCCCGGAGGUUGGAGUGAAGCGGUGGGGGGAUAACGUUUAUUCUGGGGUCUG